CGAUUAAAAAAUCGCAAAUACUCAUCAAUUUUCUUUCUCUCUCAGUUCUCCCAUUUUACCAGAAAUAUUUUCCCGGAAAAUUCCCCUAAAUUUUCUAGGCAGCCAAAGGCUCCAACAAUGAACAAAUCCGCCUUCCUCGCUGCCUCCGUCGCCGCCGCCUCCGUCAGUGCCGUUUUCCUCUCCUCCUCCUCCACGAAGCUCUCUCUUCAGGACGGCGGGGUGCGGAGAGACCUCAUCCGGUCAUCGACUGCGGCGAGUGCGGCGUCGAUGGAGAAGUUCGCGCCGCGGUUCGAUGGGUUGCGGUUCAUCGAAACGCUGAUUACUGCGCACAGAUGAACGUGCGUUGCGGAAACGCGCUUUUGGGGUUUCCCUUCAGCCUUUUUGAUCUUGUGCUGUCAAGAAAAUCAAGAAAAACAAAACUCAUGGGAAGUGUUUGGAUCUCACUUUUUAAGGUUGUUUCGCUAUUUUGGUUGAGAAAAUGGGAGAGAAAUUGUAAUACCACGGAAUUGUUACUGUUAUUUGUUGUGAUGCUUUCUACUGAGUUUUUUUCGGCAUUAAUUUCUGAGGGGAAUAUGGAAAAAAGAACGAUUAAUUGAUUAAUUAAUUUAUUCUUUUUUUA